rnacentral:rRNA from 1 species
GAUGAACGCUAGCUACAGGCUUAACACAUGCAAGUCGAGGGGAAACGACAUCGAAAGCUUGCUUUUGAUGGGCGUCGACCGGCGCACGGGUGAGUAACGCGUAUCCAACCUGCCCACCACUUGGGGAUAACCUUGCGAAAGUAAGACUAAUACCCAAUGAUAUCCCACGAAGACAUCUGAAUGGGAUUAAAGAUUUAUCGGUGAUGGAUGGGGAUGCGUGUGAUUAGCUUGUUGGCGGGGUAACGGCCCACCAAGGCAACGAUCAGUAGGGGUUCUGAGAGGGAGGUCCCGCACGUUGGAACUGAGACACGGUCCAAACUCCUACGGGAGGCAGCAGUGAGGAAUAUGGAGCGAUGGGCGAGAGCCUGAACCAGCCAAGUAGCGUGCAGGAAGACGGCCGUAUGGGUUGUAAACUGCUUUUAUAAGGGACUAAAGUGGGUCACGUGUGACUUUUUGCAUGUACCUUAUGAAUAAGGACCGGCUAAUUCCGUG